AUCUUCCAUUCUUUGAAUAUUGUCUUAAUAAAUGUCAUAAAAAAAUUAGCUAAUAAAUAAAUUAUAACUGUAUGUAAGUGUACCACGUUGUUAGUUUUAUUAUAUCGCACCACCUUUCCUUUGAAUAGAAAGAGAAAAAAAGGCCCAAAAUAAGUUGGUAGUUAGCCAAUUCUUCCCGACUAAGAAACUAUUAUCCAAUAAUAUUUUUGUAAAAUAUCUAAAUCAACUAAUCAACAUUCAGAAUGCUGAUGAGAGGAAAAGAAAAGGAGUCAUCGACAGCUGACAGGGAAAUACGAUGUAAAUUUUUGUGUUAGUAAUUCAUGUUACAAAGUGAUGCAAGCCGUAUGUAUUUUAAAUCACUAAACCCUAUAAAGUAGGCAGAUUUUGUUGAUUAUAACAUCUAAAGUCCAUACAAUUAAGGAAGAUUCUUGAUAAUAGUAUAUGUUAUUGUCAGUAUUGCAUUUCAUUUCAUAAUUAAUAAUGAAUUCUAAUACACGUGUUUUUGGAGCAUGAUAACUAGGAAUUAUAUCUGAUUUACCUCAGUGUGUAUCAUGGCUUCUACUUAUCUGGGAUCAUUAGGACUUAGAUACUAACGUAAAAGUUAUAGUCCCUCUGGUAAUGCGUAAGGGCAUCAAGGCAUUGACAAGGCUUUCUUUUUAAAGUACUAAAUACUCUUCCGCUUAUGGACUCCGGGAUCCCUUGUGUACUAUUGAUUUGCUCAUUUACAGCUGACCUUGGGCACUGAUAUUGUAUUCAAAGCUUUCUAUAGAUGCGGAUAGGCCUCCCAUACUUCCACUGAAAGAGGACACGCUGAAGGCUCAUCUGUUCUCCAUUUAUUUUGAAUUUUGCUGAACCAACACACAGACGUCACUAUUAUAAAUAACAGUACUGCUCUUCUUUGUGUUUUUUUGUAUUAUUUUGGAAAGAAACCUGUCUGUUUUUAUUUGCUUACAUCCUUCCUUCUAUGUACCCUUGUUGACUACCUCCAUCUUUCCAAAGGCUCUAAGGCAUUCAUAAAGGCCUCUUUUUCAAAGAAAUACUACUAUUAAUACUACUCAUUGUAUGUGUCUAAAUCUAAAGAUAUUGUAUCAAGCAAAUGUGCAUUUUAUUUCUGUAUUCAGGUUGAAUAAAUUAUUGAAAUAAAUCUUCUACAUUA
rnacentral:lncRNA from 1 species